CAAAUUAUUUUUACAUUUACUGUAUUUUAUUAAUCAAUUUAUGAAUUUAUUGCGAUUAUAGAUAUAUAUGUACUUGAUUUGCAUUACUUUGUUGUAUAUAUGAAUUUAUGCAAAUAAGUUUUGUUUUUAUUUUUUGUUUUAGAUGUUUAGUAUAUUAAUUAAUAGAUGCAUACAUUAAUGUUUUACAAUAGUAGCUGAUACGCUCGUGCACACACAGAUCAAGCAAACAACAAACGUACAAACAGCAAGCGCUUGCGGAGCGGCGUGUUCCAAGCGAAUGCAACGCAUGGAACAAUGAAUGAAUGUUUCAUAUGCAUACAUAUGUAUGAAUGUACAUAUGUACAUACAUACAUAUCUAAUAAAUGUAUUGUCGCAUGAAUGAAGCCGACAUGUUUUGCUUAGUUUGUUGCUGCUGCUGCUGCUGCUAUUUAAUGCGACGGCGAGAUUUGGACCUGAUUUUUGUUUAGUUUUUUUUUGCUUUAUUUUAUACUUAUCGCAUCUCUACACAAUGUAGUUGUUGGUUUUGUUCAUUAUACUUAAACUGAUACAGUACAGAUUAUUAAAAUAUAGAUUAGUUACUAAUAAAUCAGUCUAUAAUUAAAAUUUAAUAUUCAAUCUGUAUGCUGCUUUUUUAUGCUUCACUUAUAAUUCUAUUAUAUUUAUGUAUGUACGCACACGCACACAUGAACGGGCUUCGAGCGUAGUUUGCACAUUUGUAUGUACGAUAGCUUAUAAACAAACGAAGAAAUUAUAAAUAUGUAUUACCAAAAGGGCUUAGUGUUAGUUUCAACACCCUCGGAAACUGAUGAUUUGCAUUCAUUCUUUAACCCGGUAGCAUGAUUUUUUUUUGGUGCUGGCUAUGCAUGUGUGCGUUUCUUUUGUUUUAACAAAAACAUAUGUAUACAUACUACACGAAUUAUAUGUCUUAAGGUGCGGUUAAACGUGGCAAUGCAAGCGCUUGUUCUACGCGUUUCGCUGACAAAAUGCGAAAUCGAAAGUCUACUUUGCAGAUUUGGAGGUAUUACUUUUGGUAAUAAAAAUUGCAAGGAGUAAGUGCAACUGAAACUACGCAAAUCGCUUUAAAGAAAUAAUUUCAACUUGCUCGUGCUGCACUAGCAAUUUUCAUUUUUCCUGCAAGUGCUGUCAAACCGAUCGACUGUUGCCGUGUGCCGCGUUUUUGGCGAAUUUGUAUAAAAUUUUUAAAAUGUUGAAUAUAGUAUGAAAAAUACGUGUAAUUAAUUUAUUCUACUGAUAUGGAGUAUUUAAGUAUUACAGUAUUAGACUGUUUUGUGACUGUUGUGAUUUUAGCAGGUUUAGUACAUUUUUCAGGUCAUUAAUUUUGUUAUAAAGCAUAAAAAUGCCUGAAAGUGGACUUGUCUGCGUUCACCGUGUAAAGACAAAAAGUAGUAUCGGAAAGUUUGAGUUUCAGAAAUAAAAAAGUGGCUUUCGAAGCCACUUUACACGCAAGGUGUAACUGCCCUGCAAUCUCUUUUGGAAAUUCUUGAAUUUGACAGACUUUUGAAAAGGACUUGCACUUGCCACGUCUAACAGCUUCUUUAUUAAUUCAAACCAUAUUUGCAAUUACUAGAUACGAUUGGUUUGCAUAUGUUCAAUUUAUUUAGCUUAUUGCUGUUUGUAGUAUGUAUGUAUGUAUAAAAAUAUCCCUUCAGAUUUUCUUGAGAUGUUAUGCUCCUAAUAAAUCUUCAUGGCAAUGUUAGUGGCAAAUAUACAUAAUUAAAUGAAACUGUAAUUAGCCAACUUUACAAAUUGGAAAACUGACGAAGGACGUCGAUAAUUCUUUAACAAAAAUUACAACUGCAAUUUCAAGAUUGAAAAUUAUGCUUAAACAAACUACAACAAUAUUGGACUUUUGUUAAUCAAACGAAGCUAACAAACCGCAAAUUACAGAUAAACAAAAUAUUUUUUAAUAUUAAUAUAUAUCCUAACAAUUGUAUGUGUGAAUGUUUGGUUUAAUAACACAUUUUAAACAAAACUAUUAACGUGAUGACUCUUAAAAGCUUGAGUUGUUUAAAAGAAAAACAAAAUUUACUAAAUUUUUGUAUAACAAAUUACGCACCACCAGACCACCGCGCGUAGCACGCAGUUGUUGGUGAUUUCUGUGGAAGAACAUAAUUUUCAAUUGAAAGCCUAAAUCCAAUCUACUCCAAUUACUUGCUUACAAACGCGAUAGCAAAAUAUGUUGGCAUGGUAGUUUUUUGCUUCAGUGUUUUAAAAAUAUUUAA